CCUACGGGUGGCUGCAGUGGGGAAUCUUGCACAAUGGGGGAACCCCUGAUGCAGCGACGCCGCGUGAGCGAUGAAGUAUUUCGGUAUGUAAAGCUCUAUCAGCAAGGAAGAAAAUUACGGUACCUGACUAAGAAGCCCCUGCUAUUUACGUGCGCGUCGCCGAGGUAAUACGGAGGGGGCAAGCGUCAUCCGGAUUUACUGGCGGUAAAGGGAGCGUAUACGGCUGUGCAAGACAGAUGUGAAAGCCCGGGGUUCAACCCCGGGACUGAUUUUGGAACGGUGUGGCUGGAGUGUCGGAGAGGCAGGCGGAAUUCGUGGGGUAGCGGUGAAAGGCGUAGAUAUUAGGAGGAACACCAGUGGCGAAGGCGGCCUGCUGGACGAGGACUGACGUUGAGGCUCGAAAGCGUGGGGAGCAAACAGGAUUAGAUACCCGAGUAGUC
rnacentral:rRNA from 1 species